rnacentral:rRNA from 1 species
UUUUUCCACCGGAGCUUGCUCCACCGGAAAAAGAAGAGUGGGGAACGGGUGAGUAACACGUGGGUAACCUGCCCAUCAGAAGGGGAUAACACUUGGAAACAGGUGCUAAUACCGUAUAACAAUCGAAACCGCAUGGUUUUGAUUUGAAAGGCGCUUUCGGGUGUCGCUGAUGGAUGGACCCGCGGUGCAUUAGCUAGUUGGUGAGGUAACGGCUCACCAAGGCCACGAUGCAUAGCCGACCUGAGAGGGUGAUCGGCCACAUUGGGACUGAGACACGGCCCAAACUCCUACGGGAGGCAGCAGUAGGGAAUCUUCGGCAAUGGACGAAAGUCUGACCGAGCAACGCCGCGUGAGUGAAGAAGGUUUUCGGAUCGUAAAACUCUGUUGUUAGAGAAGAACAAGGAUGAGAGUAACUGUUCAUCCCUUGACGGUAUCUAACCAGAAAGCCACGGCUAACUACGUGCCAGCAGCCGCGGUAAUACGUAGGUGGCAAGCGUUGUCCGGAUUUAUUGGGCGUAAAGCGAGCGCAGGCGGUUUCUUAAGUCUGAUGUGAAAGCCCCCGGCUCAACCGGGGAGGGUCAUUGGAAACUGGGAGACUUGAGUGCAGAAGAGGAGAGUGGAAUUCCAUGUGUAGCGGUGAAAUGCGUAGAUAUAUGGAGGAACACCAGUGGCGAAGGCGGCUCUCUGGUCUGUAACUGACGCUGAGGCUCGAAAGCGUGGGGAGCAAACAGGAUUAGAUACCCUGGUAGUCCACGCCGUAAACGAUGAGUGCUAAGUGUUGGAGGGUUUCCGCCCUUCAGUGCUGCAGCUAACGCAUUAAGCACUCCGCCUGGGGAGUACGACCGCAAGGUUGAAACUCAAAGGAAUUGACGGGGGCCCGCACAAGCGGUGGAGCAUGUGGUUUAAUUCGAAGCAACGCGAAGAACCUUACCAGGUCUUGACAUCCUUUGACCACUCUAGAGAUAGAGCUUCCCCUUCGGGGGCAAAGUGACAGGUGGUGCAUGGUUGUCGUCAGCUCGUGUCGUGAGAUGUUGGGUUAAGUCCCGCAACGAGCGCAACCCUUAUUGUUAGUUGCCAUCAUUUAGUUGGGCACUCUAGCAAGACUGCCGGUGACAAACCGGAGGAAGGUGGGGAUGACGUCAAAUCAUCAUGCCCCUUAUGACCUGGGCUACACACGUGCUACAAUGGGAAGUACAACGAGUCGCGAAGUCGCGAGGCUAAGCUAAUCUCUUAAAGCUUCUCUCAGUUCGGAUUGUAGGCUGCAACUCGCCUACAUGAAGCCGGAAUCGCUAGUAAUCGCGGAUCAGCACGCCGCGGUGAAUACGUUCCCGGGCCUUGUACACACCGCCCGUCACACCACGAGAGUUUGUAACACCCGAAGUCGGUGAGGUAACCUUUUGG